UGACCAACUGGGCAUUCCACUGGAGGCUAUAUGAUCAAACAGCAAACUGUUUAUCAUGAACGCAGGAUGUGGGCAAACUCACGACUGCCCCUGCCGACAGAAGGUUUGCUGGAGGCAAUCACUCCCUGGAGCUGAGGUCCGUGCAGGCUACAAGUGGCGCUCGAACAGGCGGCAGUCCGAACACAGGGACUAUGAGGACAUGAACAAAGAAGGUCUGCUGAAGCAGAGGAACUGAAAUUGAAAGGUGAACGGUGACCCUGGGACGAGUCUGCCGGCAGUGGAUAUAAGACAGGGGGAUUUGCAGGGAGCCGAAGGCCCAUGGGAUGUGACCAGCUCCGCGUUCCACUGGAGGAUAUAUGAUCAAACAGCAAAGUGUUUAUCAUGAACACAGGAUGUGGGCAAACUCGCAACUGCCCCCGCCGACAGAAGAAAUGUUGAGAUGGGCCCUGAAGUUCUCCAAGGCAGAUGGAUGGUGGCAGUGAAGUUGUGAUAAGAAGAAGGAAGGGCAAGAGGGGACAUGGCCAGAAGCCCACAGGUCCCUGGCUGAUGGAAACAUGAGAACCUGAGUUCCAUGAAAGUGAGAACUGUAUGCCCAGCUCACCUCUGCAGCUGAGAACAGGCCCUGCUAAAGGAAUGAAUGAGAAUCUGCUCAAUAAAUUUUUAUAGAUUAAACCAAUGAGAAAGUUUGCUGAUGCCUGAUUUAGUUUGUGUUUUCAGAAGUGACUGACUCUGGCUGCUGUGUGGGGUGGCACCAUGACAUGGAGCUACAAGGCCACUGUGGGACAAGAGAUGAAGAUGAGGUCUCUCCUUUGCAUCGGUGCCUGUCCGUUGAUAUUUCCUCCUCCCUCUCUCCCUCCAUCAGACAGAGGGAGAUGGUCGCUCGGCCUGGUGGGCUUAUCUUUCUGGGUGCACACUGCUUCUAAGGACAGAGGCUGCCCGACACUCGGUGGCCAGCCAGGCGGACUCUGCUUUGCCGGUGAACUUGGCAAGAGGAGUUCACUGCUGCUUGUGGAGCCUCCACCCAAACCAUAACUGCCUGUCUUUUGUCUGUGACACCUCGUCACCAAUUUGGUGCUUAGGAGACAGCGUGGGCCAAGCAGCUGCUUCCCAUUCCCCGCUUGUCCCAUGUCAGCAGCUGGUCAUGAUUGCCAAGCGUGCCCACACCACUCCCAGCAGACGGCAAGAGGCGCUGUGAGAAAAGGAUCUAGUGUCCAAAUUGCAGGGCAGAUUGCUUUUGUUUUGUUUCUUAAGAAAAACAUGAAAUAAGUAAAAUAGUUGAGUACUGUGUUAGAAAACUAACCCCAAACAUCUGGGCUUUUGGUA